UGACCUGCCUGGACUCCAUCAUCACAAUGUCAAAAUUCUGUCACAAUGUCAAAAUUCUGUCACAGCGUCAAAAUUCUGUCACAGUGUCAAAAUUCCGCUGAGUUUCACGCCAAGGGAGGGGAAGGAGAAUAUUCAUCCUCUUUUCCCAUUUGGUGUCACAUGCAAUUAUAUGGGGCCCAAAGCAGAUCAGCUUACAUCCAGGCAUAAAACAAAAAUUGCAUUGCCUGCCUAUGGAUACAAAGAGGUUCGGCUGAUGGGAGCAAGAGUUGGGAAGGCUUGGCUUACAGAGCAUUGGCUUAUCCAAGCAGAACGUUCUCCGUUCCAAUAAUAGAAGCCAGGAGGAGUAAGAAACUGAUCAUUACAAAGCACCUCUUAUAUGGAAGGCAUCAAUGAGAACCAAAAUAAAAACUACAAUCCCUCACUCAAGAAGUUUAAAAUGAAGUGAAUGGACAAUUGUGAGAAGAAAUGCUAUGGAUCUUCCAAAGUCGUAUAUUCGAUAGUGAAUAUUGUAUGUUUAAAGUAACCUUGCAAAAUGUGUCAUGUCAAAUGUAAUAAAUUGUAUGUUCUGACGAAGGAAUGGAA